rnacentral:lncRNA from 1 species
AAAAAUACAAAGACUUGCAAAUAUCUUUGAGAACACUCUGUUGUGGAGAAGUGAAAUUUAGAAAGCAGAAAUCAUUUCUUUGCUCGUAAGAAGUAGUUUAGGGCUGCUAACAGACUGCUAACAAUUUAGUUUAGAUGUGAGUAUAUAAGAAUAUAUAGCCAUGCUACAGAACUGAGAUCACACAAACUUUUCUUAUUUUGUUACUCUCCAUUGUUUUCUUCUGAUCAGGGCUCUGCAAUAAUCCACUGGAGGCUGUUGCUUUGUUGCAUUGUUUGAUGUUUGUAUUGCUUGAUUCUUAUUAUGAUUUCAGCCCGAGAGUGACAGAGUAACACCUCCAUGUACACCGACAAACAAGGUUUGGCCACACUGAACUGCAGCUGUAACCACGUGUGAUCAGUCCCGUUUUCACACCCGCUCAGAUCAGACGUACUGUGGUUUUACUCUGACAAAAGUGUGAAAAUAAAACCAAAGGCUACGCAUCACGUUCUAGAACCCAUACUGUACUUUAAAUAAACAACUAAAAACCUGGCCAGAACAUUUCAGUGUGUGACUGGCUGAACACAACAAGAAUAGAGAAGGGAGACAUAAGAGAAAGAUGUGAAGGAAUGAAAAGGGCAACAGGAAGGAAGUGAAAGAGUGGUUUAACACGCAAACACAGAAGAAGAAAAACAACUUACAAUCAUAUGAACAACAAUUAGAAUUCUAGACCCAAACAUUCAUUCAUUCAUUAUAGAGACAUUCUGCAAAAUGAUACUGAUGACUUAAAGAUAUGAAACUGCUAAAGUCGAACCUUAAGUAAUGGCAGAUCAUCACAUGGCUUUCAGCUAGAUUCCCACUCAGAGCACGAGAAAUGCAAGAUCACGCAGACGCUCAUAAAUCGAUUAGUGUGAUGAUGGACUACAGAAAGAGAGCAACACUGACAUCCACUUUACCAGCCACCUUGUUUCGGGAAUACUCUGUCUAAAGAGAAUUUGGAGAAGAAACAAAAAAACUACAGAAUAAAAAAAUAUUAAGCGAUGUACCAAAUAAGUAUUUGGGGGAUUAAAAAAAAAAUUGUGUGCCUCAUAUUUUAUGAGGUAAUGCAAAUUAUAAUAAUACAAUAUUAACAAUAUAUAAGAAUAAUUUAAGUGUAUCGGCAAGUCACUCUGAGCAGUGAGCAGUUUUCUCUCAGAACUGCUACUUUUUUGUUGUUGUUUUUUUUGUUAAAGCUUUAAGAUAAUAUACAGGUAAAGUUAAGAAAUAAUGUUUUAAUUAGUGUUUUGGCUGGCUCAAACAGAUUAAAAAACUAUUUUUUCUCUUUAUUGUCUUAUUUUUGUUCUUUUAGCUGCUUUUAUUUCUUUCACAUUAUAUAUGUGAAUCUUUAGGCAGAAACAUAUGUCUUUAUACUUUUGUAAAAAACUGUUGUGCUAACAUAAGUAUUUUAUAUAUUUACUGGUAUUUAAU